CCUACGGGAGGCUGCAGUGAGGAAUAUUGGUCAAUGGGCGCGAGCCUGAACCAGCCAAGUAGCGUGAAGGACGACUGCCCUACGGGUUGUAAAUUCUUUUUAUAAAGGAAUAAAGUGAGGCACUUGUGCCUUUUUGUAUGUCCUUUAUGAAUAAGGAUCGGAUAACUCCGUGCCAGCAGCCGCGGUAAUACGGAGGAUCCGAGCGUUAUCCGGAUUUAUUGGGUUUAAAGGGAGCGUAGAUGGGUUGUUAAGUCAGUUGUGAAAGUUUGCGGCUCAACCGUUAAAUUGCAAUUGAUACUGGCUGUCUUGAGUACAGUGGAGGUAGGCGGAAUUCGUGGUGUAGCGGUGAAAUGCUUAGAUAUCACGAAGAACUCCGAUUGCGAAGGCAGCUUACUAAACUGCCACUGACAUUGAUGCUCGAAAGUGUGGGUAUCAAACAGGAUUAGAUACCCUUGUAGUC
rnacentral:rRNA from 1 species